GCGAACGUAGUUCAAAGGCAGAACACUUAGGUCGCCCACCUAAGAGAAUACGGGUCCGAUUCCCGUCGUUCGCUCCA
rnacentral:tRNA from 1 species